rnacentral:antisense_RNA from 1 species
CUGCAGCACGCCGAGAAAGAAAAAAAUGUCAGGCGAUGACGGCGGAGGAAGGAUGACUUACCCAUGUUGCUCCCCGAGGGUGGAGUCUCGCUCUGUUGCCCAGGCUGGAGUGCGAUGGUGCUAUCUCGGCUCACUGCAAGCUCUGCCUCCCGGGUUCACACCAUUCUCCUGCCUCAGCCUCCUGAAUAGCUGGGACUACAGGCGCCCGCCACCACGCCCGGCUAAUUUUUUGUAUUUUUAGUAGAGACGGGGUUUCUCCAUGUUAGCCAGGAUGGUCUCCAUCUCCUGACCUCGUGAUCUGCCUGCCUCGGCCUCCCAAAGUGCUGGGUUACAGGCGUCAGCUACCGCGCCCGGCUGGUUCCAUGAUGUAAUUUUCAAUAAACAUCAUUAACUUGA